rnacentral:misc_RNA from 1 species
AUUCACGACUACGAAGUGAAGAUGCGCAACGUCAUGAAGUUCCUGGAAAAGGGCGACAAGGUGAAGGUCACCCUGCGCUUCCGGGGCCGCGAGAUGGCGCACCAGAACCUCGGCCGCGAGCUCCUCGAGCGCGUUGCGGAAGACGUGAAGGAACUCGGCAAGGUCGAGAACAUGCCGAAGAUGGAAGGCCGCCAGAUGGUCAUGAUGAUCGGCCCCGUCGCGCGCUGAUCCCAUCCUGCCUUCGAGAUCGCAGAACGCCCUCCCCUUGCGGAGGGCGUUUUCUUUUGGGCUGUCCGCAAACCGUGAUGGUCCGCUCUGCGGACAAA